CAGGCUUAACACAUGCAAGUCGAGGGGCAUCAGGAAGAAAGCUUGCUUUCUUUGCUGGCGACCGGCGCACGGGUGAGUAACACGUAUCCAACCUGCCCUUUACUCGGGGAUAGCCUUUCGAAAGAAAGAUUAAUACCCGAUGGCAUAAUGAUUCCGCAUGGUUUCAUUAUUAAAGGAUUCCGGUAAAGGAUGGGGAUGCGUUCCAUUAGGUUGUUGGUGAGGUAACGGCUCACCAAGCCUUCGAUGGAUAGGGGUUCUGAGAGGAAGGUCCCCCACAUUGGAACUGAGACACGGUCCAAACUCCUACGGGAGGCAGCAGUGAGGAAUAUUGGUCAAUGGGCGCUAGCCUGAACCAGCCAAGUAGCGUGAAGGAUGAAGGCUCUAUGGGUCGUAAACUUCUUUUAUAUAAGAAUAAAGUGCAGUAUGUAUACUGUUUUGUAUGUAUUAUAUGAAUAAGGAUCGGCUAACUCCGUGCCAGCAGCCGCGGUAAUACGGAGGAUCCGAGCGUUAUCCGGAUUUAUUGGGUUUAAAGGGAGCGUAGGUGGACUGGUAAGUCAGUUGUGAAAGUUUGCGGCUCAACCGUAAAAUUGCAGUUGAUACUGUCAGUCUUGAGUACAGUAGAGGUGGGCGGAAUUCGUGGUGUAGCGGUGAAAUGCUUAGAUAUCACGAAGAACUCCGAUUGCGAAGGCAGCUCACUGGACUGCAACUGACACUGAUGCUCGAAAGUGUGGGUAUCAAACAGGAUUAGAUACCCUGGUAGUCCACACAGUAAACGAUGAAUACUCGCUGUUUGCGAUAUACAGUAAGCGGCCAAGGGGAAAGCAGUAAGUAUUCCACCUGGGGAGUACGCCGGCAACGGUGAAACUCAAAGGGAAUUGGACGGGGGCCCGCACAAGCGGAGGAACAUGUGGUUUAAUUCGAUGAUACGCGAGGGAACCUUACCCGGGGCUUAAAUUGCAGUGGAAUGAUGUGGAAACAUGUCAGUGAGCAAUCACCGCUGGAAGGGUGCUGCAUGGUUGUCGUCAGCUCGUGCCGUGAGGUGUCGGCUUAAGUGCCAUAACGAGCGCAACCCUUAUCUUUAGUUACUAACAGGUUAUGCUGAGGACUCUAGAGAGACUGCCGUCGCAAGAUGUGAGGAAGGUGGGGAUGACGUCAAAUCAGCACGGCCCUUACGUCCGGGGCUACACACGUGUUACAAUGGGGGGUACAGAAGGCAGCUAGCGGGUGACCGUAUGCUAAUCCCAAAAGCCUCUCUCAGUUCGGAUCGAAGUCUGCAACCCGACUUCGUGAAGCUGGAUUCGCUAGUAAUCGCGCAUCAGCCACGGCGCGGUGAAUACGUUCCCGGGCCUUGUACACACCGCCCGUCAAGCCAUGGGAGCCGGGGGUACCUGAAGUACGUAACCGCAAGGAUCGUCCUAGGGUAAAACUGGUGACUGGGGCUAAGUC
rnacentral:rRNA from 1 species